rnacentral:rRNA from 1 species
UCCUUAGCCGAGGCCGAAAGGCGUAGGUGAUGGACAUCCGGUCAACAUUCCGGAACCACUCAGAAGGAGUGAUGGGGGGACGCAACGAGGUAGGCCAGCCUGCUAUUGGAUGCAGGUGCGAUCCGCUUAGGUGUUGAGACUGAUAGGCAAAUCCGUCAGUUGAGCUGAGGCGAGAGCGAGCCGUAAGGCAUAAGUGGUUGAGCCUUGUUGCCAAGAAAAGCCUCUAAACGUUGAUCUCUGAGUGCCCGUACCGCAAACCGACACUGGUAGAUGGGUAGAGUAUACCAAGGCGAACGGGAGAACCCUUGUUAAGGAACUAGGCAACAUGACCCCGUAACUUCGGGAGAAGGGGUACCUUCGAGCGUUCGGGUAACCAAAGCGCUUGAAGGUCGCAGUGAAAUGGCUCUGGCGACUGUUUAACAAAAACACAGGUCUCUGCUAAGCCGUAAGGCGAUGUAUAGGGGCUGACGCGUGCCCAGUGCCGGAAGGUUAAAGGGAGAGGUUAGGCGCAAGCCGAAGCUUUGAACUGAAGCCCCGGUGAACGGCGGCCGUAACUAUAACGGUCCUAAGGUAGCGAAAUUCCUUGUCGGGUAAGUUCCGACCCGCACGAACCGCGUAACGAUCAGAGCACUGUCUCAACAAGGGACCCGGUGAAGUUGAAAUGGCUGUGAAGAUGCGGCCUACCCGCAGCAGGACAAAAAGACCCCGUGGAGCUUUACUGCAUCUUGGCAUUGUAUUUGGACAUGAUCUGUGUAGCAUAGGUGGGAGGCUUUGAAGCUGGGGCGUUAGCCUCGGUGGAGCCAUCAGUGAAAUACCACCCUGAUUAUGUUUAGAUCCUAACCCCAUUCCGUCAUCCGGAUGGGGGACCGUGCCAGGUGGGCAGUUUGACUGGGGCGGUCGCCUCCUAAAUGGUAACGGAGGCGCCCAAAGGUUCCCUCAGGUGGAAUGGAAACCCACCAUAGAGUGUAAAGGCAUAAGGGAGCUUGACUGCAAGACCAACGCGUCGAGCAGAUACGAAAGUAGGGCUUAGUGAUCCCACGGUACCGAGUGGAAGGGCCGUGGCUUACCGGAUAAAAGCUACCCCGGGGAUAACAGGCUGGUGAGAUCCAAGAGUUCACAUCGACGAUCUCGCUCGGCACCUCGAUGUCGGCUCAUCGCAUCCUGGGGCUGGACAAGGUCCCAAGGGUCGGGCUGUUCGCCCGUUAAAGCGGUACGCGAGCUGGGUUCAGACCGUCGUGAGACAGGUCGGUCUCUAUCCGCUGUGGGCGUAAGGGAUUUGAGAGGAGCUGCUCCUAGUACGAGAGGACCGGAGUGGACUGACCUCUGGUGUGCCAGUUGUUCCGCCAGGAGCAUUGCUGGGUAGCUACGUCGGGCAGAGAUAACCGCUGAAAGCAUCUAAGUGGGAAACUCGCCUCAAGAUUAGAUCCCUGUA